GCCAGCCAGUUAGCUGUAAAAUCCCUGUUGGUAUCUGUUCUCUGCAUGCUUUACCUGUAAAGGGUUAAAAAAGUCCCCCAGGUAAAGAAAAGGACACCUGACCGAAAGAGCCAAUGGGAAGGCUAGAACUUUUUAAAAUUGGGAAGGAAGCUUUCCCUUUGUGUCUGUGGUUGCUCUUUCUGGGGUGAAGAGAUGGGGCAGCAGGAAUCUCUGUGGUCAGUCUGGUCCUCCAGAACAGCUCCAUCAACCAUCAGCCAUCCCCGCAGCAGGUCUGGCAUUUCACCCCCCCUGGACAGGAGACACAGCUUCACGUCUCGCAUGAGGUUACAUGAUAGAAAGUUCUAGGAAGAUGUUCUAGAAUCCAUUGUCUUUCCUGUGCCCAAAUUCUGUUCCUACACCCUCUGGGUUGGGAAGAGUCAAUGCAAGAAGUUGGGAGUGGGGAAAAAUACAACGUCU